AUACGGAGGGUGCAAGCGUUACUCGGAAUCACUGGGCGUAAAGCGCGCGCAGGCGGCUUGAUAAGUUGGAUGUGAAAGCCUACGGCUCAACCGUAGAACUGCAUCCAAAACUGUCAAGCUAGAGUCUGUGAGGGGAAGAUGGAAUUAGUUGUGUAGGGGUAAAAUCCGUAGAGAUAACUAGGAACACCAAAAGCGAAGGCGAUCUUCUGGAACAGUACUGACGCUGAGGCGCGAAAGCGUGGGGAGCAAACAGUAUUAGAUACCCUAGUAGUCC
rnacentral:rRNA from 1 species